rfam:Marivirga tractuosa DSM 4126, complete genome.
GUCUCUAGAUGUCUGGAACAUUGAAUAGAAGUCAGCAGAGGUCAUAGUAGUUGAUAGUAAUGAGCAGGGAUUGCUAAGAC